rnacentral:rRNA from 1 species
GAUGAACGCUGGCGGCGUGCUUAACACAUGCAAGUCGAACGGAAAGGCCCUGCUUUUGUGGGGUGCUCGAGUGGCGCACGCGUGAGUAACACAUGAGUAACCCGCCCUUGACUUUGUGAUAACUUCACGAAAAUCGGGAGAAUACCCGAUAUGAGCUCUUGCUGCAUGGUGGGGAUUGGAAAGUUUCGGCGGUUGUGGAUGUACUCGCGGCUUAUCAGCUUGUUGGUGUGGUAGUGGCUUACCAGGUCUUUGACGGGUAGCCCGCCUGAGCGGGCGACCGGCCACAUUUGUACUGAGGUACGGAGCAGCAUAGAACCGGACGCAGAAGUGGGGAGUAUUGCACAGCGGCUCGACGUCUGAUGCAGCAGCCCCCCGUCCGGGAUAACGGGCUUCGGGGUGUAAACCGUUGUGGACUGUGAUGAGCAGUUAGUGACGGUAAUGGGUCAUAAAGCACCGGCUAACUACGUG